UAGGGAAUCUUCGGCAAUGGACGGAAGUCUGACCGAGCAACGCCGCGUGAGUGAAGAAGGAUUUCGGAUCGUAAAGCUCUGUUGUUAGAGAAGAACGGUGGUAGGAGUGGAAAAUCUACCAAGUGACGGUAACUAACCAGAAAGGGACGGCUAACUACGUGCCAGCAGCCGCGGUAAUACGUAGGUCCCGAGCGUUGUCCGGAUUUAUUGGGCGUAAAGCGAGCGCAGGCGGUUCUUUAAGUCUGAAGUUAAAGGCAGUGGCUUAACCAUUGUACGCUUUGGAAACUGGAGGACUUGAGUGCAGAAGUGGAGAGUGGAAUUCCAUGUGUAACGGUGAAAUGCGUAGAUAUAUAGAGGAACCCCGGUGGCGCCAGCGGCUCUCUGGUCUGUCACUGACGCUGAGGCUCGAAAGCGUGGGGAGCACACAGG
rnacentral:rRNA from 1 species